rnacentral:rRNA from 1 species
CCCCUAGAUGUUCUGGGCCGCACGCGCGCUACACUGAACAGUUCAACAAGUCUUAACCUUGGCCGAUAGGUCUGGGUAAUCUUUGAACGCUGUUCGUGAUUGGGAUAGACCUUUGCAAUUAUGGGUCUUCAACGAGGAAUUCCUAGUAAACGCAAGUCAUCGGCUUGCAUUGAUUACGUCCCUGCCCUUUGUACACACCGCCCGUCGCACCUACCGAUUGAAUGGUCCGGUGAAAUCUCGGGACGGCGGCUUGGUCGCUUGCGUCCGACUGCUGAAACUUGAUUAAACCAUAUCAUUUAGAGGAAGGUGAAGUCGUAACA